GAUGAACGCUGGCGGCGUGCCUAAUACAUGCAAGUCGAGCGAACAGAUAAGGAGCUUGCUCCUUUGACGUUAGCGGCGGACGGGUGAGUAACACGUGGAUAACCUACCUAUAAGACUGGGAUAACUUCGGGAAACCGGAGCUAAUACCGGAUAACAUAUUGAACCGCAUGGUUCAAUAGUGAAAGGCGGCUUUGCUGUCACUUAUAGAUGGAUCCGCGCCGUAUUAGCUAGUUGGUAAGGUAACGGCUUACCAAGGCAACGAUACGUAGCCGACCUGAGAGGGUGAUCGGCCACACUGGAACUGAGACACGGUCCAGACUCCUACGGGAGGCAGCAGUAGGGAAUCUUCCGCAAUGGGCGAAAGCCUGACGGAGCAACGCCGCGUGAGUGAUGAAGGUCUUCGGAUCAUAAAACUCUGUUAUCAGGGAAGAACAAAUGUGUAAGUAACUGUGCACAUCUUGACGGUACCUGAUCAGAAAGCCACGGCUAACUACGUG
rnacentral:rRNA from 1 species